UACGUAGGGGGCUAGCGUUGUCCGGAUUUAUUGGGCGUAAAGAGCGUGUAGGCGGCCAGGUAGGUCUGCUGUGAAAACUCGAGGCUCAACCUCGAGAUGUCGGCGGAAACCAUCUGGCUAGAGUCCGGAAGAGGAAAGUGGAAUUCCUGGUGUAGCGGAGGAAUGCGCAGAUAUCAGGAGGAACACCAAUAGCGAAGGCAGCUCGCUGGGACGUCACUGACACUGAGGCGCGAAAGCGUGGGGAGCGAACAGG
rnacentral:rRNA from 1 species